ACAGCAGCCCUGGAGACUGAUGGCCUGGCCUCCAUUAUUUAUCCUCAGAGGAAGUCCAGCAACACCAACAACUUCCUAUGCAAUACCAAUCACUGAUGUGUCUCAACUCUGACCUGGAGGGACUCCCUCUGAAAUUUAGGGGAGUUCAGUCUCCAUGGCUCAUUUCGUCCUCAGCCUGU
ensembl:misc_RNA